UCUUGUUCCAGUUUAGUUUUAUCUUAUUUCAUGUUCCAGUUCAUCCUCAUAGUCUUGUUCCCAGCCUUUCAGCUCACAUCCAGCUUCUGCUCAUUGCUCUCGCCCAUCCCGUCAUAGAAACUCUAAUCAAGCUCAUUUCACUCACCUGUUUCCAGCAGUAUACAACCCAGUCUCACUCUCCAGUUCACUGCCAGAUUAUCAUCAGCCUCACCUAUGAUCUUCCAGCAUUCUUGUCCCGCUCUUGGCUCAUGUCCCCUGGUUUAACGUCUCCUGCCUCAGCCUGUCGGAUCCCGCCUGCCAUCUGCUCUCACGGUAAUGACCUUUUUUCUGUCUCUUGGAUUAUUGUCACUCGCCUGCUCCCUGAAUGGAAGUGCGCCACAUCUGACCUCCUGGAUCUCGACCCCUGAACGCAUCUCUGGACCAACGACUCAGUCAUCUCCUUCAAACCUGGUAACUUCCUCUGACCACCUGUGUAUGACCCUUGCCCCGUUUCUGACCUCGAGUAAGUCCAGCGAUUAUUAUCGCUCCUCUUGACAACACAGCCCGGAACCAAAACACAUCAGGUGUUGUUUCAACUCGGACUUCAACUCAGCUGGAAAGAUGAGCAGGAGAAAGUGUGUGCAUGACACUACGCCACUCCGUCUAGAUGGUGCGGACCUGAGAUUUGCUGAGGAAGGUGAAAGCUUCAAGAAACCUAAGAUGGAUCAGAACCAUUUUGGGAAAAUGUAAUUUUUGAUUUCUGCAAAUGAGAACUUUGAUGAGAUUCUUCUGACAUUUAGUAAGAUAAAAGUUACAAAAAAUAA